rnacentral:pre_miRNA from 1 species
AGUCAUACACGGUUUAUUAAUAUUCAUGUAAUAAAUAUUAAUAAAAAGUGGAUGACUGU